GAUGAACGCUGGCGGCGUGCCUAAUACAUGCAAGUCGAGCGAACGGACGAGAAGCUUGCUUCUCUGAUGUUAGCGGCGGACGGGUGAGUAACACGUGUAUAACCUACCUAUAAGACUGGGAUAACUUCGGGAAACCGUAGCUAAUACCGGAUAAUAUUUUGAACCGCAUGGUUCAAAAGUGAAAGACGGUCUUGCUGUCACUUAUAGAUGGAUCCGCGCUGCAUUAGCUAGUUGGUAAGGUAACGGCUUACCAAGGCAACGAUGCAUAGCCGACCUGAGAGGGUGAUAGGCGACACUGGAAGUGAGACACGGUCAAGACUCCUACGGGAGGCAGCAGUAGGGAAUCUUACGCAAUGGGCGAAAGACUGACGGAGAAACGCCGCGUGAGUGAUGAAGGUCUUCGGAUCGUAAAACGCUGUUAUUAGGGAAGAACAUAUGUGUAAGUAACUGUGCAGAUAUUGACGGUACCUAAUCAGAAAGCCACGGCUAACUACGUG
rnacentral:rRNA from 1 species